GCUUUGGUGGCCUAGUGGUUAGAGCGUCCGCCUCAAAUGCGGGAGUUCGCAGGAUCGAACCCCAGCCGAAUCCU